UUCAAGUCGUAAAUUUGAAAUCGCUUUGUCCGCGCAUUGGUAAAUACCGACAGACUUCGUAGUGUCGAUUUUUCGUAUCGCUCGUAAAAAUUUCACUCUCAUCACAUUUGCCCAAACACGCCAAAAGAAGUAUAAUUUUAAAAAUCGUUCUCGGCAAGACUUUUAAGAGGAAUUCACUAAGAGGAGGAGGAUUUCUUCGUUUCCCACGGGCUUGCGAAGGUAAGAAAAAUCUUUGCCGGCUAAAAGCUCGCGGGAAAGGGAAACAUACUCACGGGUCAGGGGCUCGCAGAAGGAGGAGGAAUGACAUCACUGGGCAAGGACCUUGCGGAAGAUGACGAGGAAGUUGUCAUAAGAGAAGUUGGUCAAGAAGGAGAACUUGGUGGACCAAGGAAAGUUGAACAGAAAGUUGAGCGAGAGACUUGGUGUACCGAUGUGUCAAUUUUUUAAAGAAUAUCUAUCACCAAGUAAUCAUCAGAGAUGGCGGAUGCAUGGGAAAGCAAGGAAUUAUUUUUUUUGAGAUUAAAUAAAAUCAAAUUUGACGAUCU
rnacentral:lncRNA from 1 species